ACGAACGCUGGCGGCAUGCCUAACACAUGCAAGUCGAACGAGACCUUCGGGUCUAGUGGCGCACGUGUGCGUCACGCGUGGGAACCUGCCCUUAGGUUCGUAAUAACUCCCCGAAAGGGGUGCUAAUACCGGAUAAUGUCUUCGGACCAAAGAUUUAUCGCCUUUGGAUGGGCCCGCGUUGGAUUAGCUAGUUGGUAGGGUAAAAGCCUACCAAGGCGACGAUCCAUAGCUGGUCUGAGAGGAUGAUCAGCAACACUGGGACUGAGACACGGCCCAGACUCCUACGGGAGGAAGCAGUGGGGAAUAUUGGACAAUGGGCGAAAGCAUGAUCCAGCAAUGCCGCGUGAGUGAUGAAGGCCUUAGGGUUGUAAAGCUCUUUUACCCGGGAUGAUAAUGACAGUACCGGGAGAAUAAGCUCCGGCUAACUCCGUG
rnacentral:rRNA from 1 species